GGGWGAAGUCGUAACAAGGUAGCCGUAUCGGAAGGUGCGGCUGGAUCACCUCCUUUCUAGAGCAAAGGCGUGGUGAGCACCUACAACCUAUCGGUUGUUUAGAACCCAACAGCGGGUCUGUAGCUCAGCUGGUUAGAGCACCGUCUUGAUAAGGCGGGGGUCGAUGGUUCGAACCCAUCCAGACCCACCACGCGCCACAUCACGGGGGAUUAGCUCAGCUGGGAGAGCACCUGCUUUGCAAGCAGGGGGUCGACGGUUCGAUCCCGUCAUCCUCCACCAUCAGCGCAAUGAGCGGGAGGGGGGUCGGCAAGCGGCAUGAAGCGUAAUGAGUAACGAGAAGCGAGAGGCUUCUCCUUAGUCAUUACUCCUUAUGAGUAAGCGGUUGUUGGAUCUUUAAAAAUUCGGAAGAAGUAAGGUUGUGUCACCCUGGAAGGGGUGGCACAUGGGUUGUGAUUGUAUCUUCACGAUUCCCGUCCUUUGAACCGGCGCGGGAAUCUGAACAAGUAAUACUUUGGUUGCUUCUGUAGAGGAGAGAUCCCGGG
rnacentral:misc_RNA from 1 species